rnacentral:rRNA from 1 species
CUCAAAUUUGAAAUCUGGCGUCCUCAGGGCGUCCGAGUUGUAAUCUAUAGAGGCGUUUUCCGUGCCGGACCGUGUCCAAGUUCCUUGGAACAGGAUAUCAAAGAGGGUGACAAUCCCGUACUUGACACGACGACCGGUGCUCUGUGAUACGUCUUCUACGAGUCGAGUUGUUUGGGAAUGCAGCUCAAAAUGGGUGGUGAGUUCCAUCUAAAGCUAAAUAUUGGCGAGAGACCGAUAGCGAACAAGUACCGUGAGGGAAAGAUGAAAAGCACUUUGGAAAGAGAGUUAAACAGUACGUGAAAUUGUUGAAAGGGAAACGAUUGAAGUCAGUCGUGACCGAGAGGCUCAGCCGGUUCUGCCGGUGUAUUCCCCUCGGUCGGGUCAACAUCAGUUUUGUCCGGUGGAUAAGGGCGGUAGGAAGGUGGCACCCUCGGGUGUGUUAUAGCCUGCCGUCGCAUACAUCGGGUGAGACUGAGGAACGCAGCUCGCCUUUAUGGCCGGGGUUCGCCCACGUCCGAGCUUAGGAUGUUGACAUAAUGGCUUUAAACGACCCGUCU